rnacentral:lncRNA from 1 species
UGGUCGAAUACUCCAGAGAAGACAGGAGCUCCCUAUAUCAAACCCUAACUAGCUCAAAAUUGACAAAUUGAAAGGGGAAAUCUAACCCAAAUCGAAAUCCAAGUACAAAUUCGUGAUCACCUCGGUGAAGGGAUCAUAAGUUUGACACUUAACGAGCAAGGUGGAGGCUUGGGAAGAAACGGGUCAAACGAAUCAAGAAGGAAAAGAAAAGCUUAGCUCGGAUACGAGGGGGAAUGGCAAAAAACCAUAAGUUAUGGUAAAGAUGCUCUUUAGACCCCGGAGGAUGAUCAAGCCAUGUCAAGAACCGAACACACCGAACAAAGCUUCCGCAUUUUGUCUAUUUUGUUUUAUGACAUGUAAACACUUGAAAUUAUGUUUUGAAAGUUUAUCUAGCAUGAUGUAGGCUUGAAUGUUAUGAUCAAGUAUGAUCUUAAA